AAAAUGGCAACACCACUUCUCAGUUCUCACGGAAGUUCGUCUGCACAAAUCUGCACAAGUGUGCAAGUCUUCACACAAAUGUGCAGUCUUCAAGAGUGAAAAUUUGCAUAAAUUCUUUAAAUUGUAACUUGUUAAGUGGCUGCAGGUGGGUAAGCGGUAGUAUGUACUUAGACUUAGGCAACACUCCACUUAGGCACAUGGAUGCCUGAUGAUGAAUUGGUGAAUGGUGAGUGUUGUGUUGUGUGUGUCUGUCUGUCUAAGUUUCAAACAUUGAAUGGAUUGAUUGUAACAUUAUAGUGACCAUUUUUAAUUAAAUGAGUGGGUAAACGUGGCUUUUUUUUCUCGAUUGCCUCACCUUUGCUAACCACGAGCGUCCCCUUAACCCCUAAUAACGUGGUUGAAACAAAGUGCUGAGUCAAAUCAAGGAAGUGUUUGAAACAGCUCAUGUUCCUUGCCCAGAUUACGUUGGUGCAAAAAGAGAGCAACAGAUUGUUACACCUGCAUUGGAUUUUCCAUCUCAAGAUAAUUUUAUUCAGUUUUUUUAUUAGGUCUAAAUAACUCCACCAUUUAUCUCCAAUGUAACAGCAGCAAGUCGAAGGUUUUUCGAGUAAAGUGUGACUAGUUAAAGUUUUACUUCUGCUUGUAAAGAAUCCAGCAAUGUAGGACGAGAACUCAGACAUUCAGUGACAGCAGCACCUACCUUACAUGAAUUUCCGAUGCAAUUUAUGCCUAAAAUAAGAAGAAUUCAAAAUCUCCACAGUCUACAUGGGGGUUGGCAUGAAAGAUAACAAAGAAAGACUUAAGCAGCCCGUGAUUGUGUGUACUCUGGAUUCUCUGGGUCACGACCGUCAUUGGCGCGAAUGCUGGUUCAUUGCAAAACUCAUCUUUGUCGAAAUCUGACAUCCGGGAAGAAAUUAGAAUUGGUGAUGUAACACUUGCCAUGGACGGUAAUGACAGUACACUACUCGAGCCCACUUUAUCCCUCAUAGAAUGAACUGUUUCUGGAGUGUUAACCAAGAUGGAAUUUGAAAAUCUCCUUAGCACGAGCAACUAUCUACGAGGCAACAGACCAACUAUAUGAGGCAGAUGACUCCCACGAUAGAGUUAAAAACAGAGCAAAAGUUGAAGGAGGUUCUGAAAAAAAAAAAAUGCGGCGUCAUUUUCAUCAUUCACGUCGAUCCGCGUCGGAUGUCGAUUGAUUCUUUCAAGUUAUGGCUGCUCGAAAUGCUCGGUCCAGUUUUACAAACAAGUAGGCCCUAGCUUACGUCUAAACUUGGGCCAGUUCUGCAUGUAUGAACGGCCUUACGACUGCAGGACAACCAACUCCUGAUUGAAUUAUUUAAAGAGUUCUUGUUGGCACAACAAUUGAAGAACUAUUUCGUCAUGCUAACUUAUCGACCAUACUGACCGAUUGAUGUCGCUCAACUCAUGCUAUUGCCUUGUCCUGUCCAAAUGCCAAUUGGUUUCCGCACUUGCAAGUAAUCCUUCGGUCGCUGACUGGCAUCUUUUGACAUACAUCUUAAUGGGCCGUAAAGCUGGCUUCUUGGUCUUGUCGCCAAAAGCGAAGAUGAAAAGUUCCAGAAAAUUAAAGAAUUUUGCUUAAUAUGAGAAUCAUCUGGAUUUCUUUCCAAGCAAAAGUAAAAGGGUAUCACGGUCGACUAAGUUCUUUGUUUGCUAACCCGUUGGCUGCUACCUUGACCCUAGCUGGCUGACCUUGCCCUCUUUAACUUCGGGAUUUGAGUUAAUCCUGCGAUAUUCCAUGGAUUCAAUCAAUUGAACCUGACGAGAGAUGAAAGCUCAGCGACGACUAACUGACGUGCUGUUAUUCAGCAAUAUUGCUCACUUGCGUGAUGUCCUUUCGUCGCUCCGAAUCAUGGGGGAGUUGAGCUUGCUUCAGCUACGCGGCCAGCUGCCAGCAUCAUUGGAUUACCCAGCCGACUUGUAAGUUACCCCAGCUCUAAACACAGCACAGAGUUUUACUCUUUAGAUAUUAUGUGUGGCUGUUUGCGAUGUGUGAUGGCGUUUUCUUGAGUGCGACGACUAAUCGCUCCCUAGCAAAACUGGCUUCGCACUCCUCUCUUCUUCCUUGUCCAGGUAAUCUCCCUGAGCACAGUCAAUCAAGGCAGAGUCUCCCCCUGUCUUGAUUGACUGAACUUUGCAAGGAAAAUUGAACAUUUCACUUUAAUAGAUAAAUUUAAUGAAGGUAAAUGAUAAAAAUGCAUGAGCGAUGAUAAACAUAUGUACAUAACAGUGUCAAUAAGAUUGUAAAUAGUUAUAUUUUCUUUAUGAAAUAUUUAAAAUACAAUGUAAUCUAUAUCUA